rnacentral:rRNA from 1 species
GAUGAACGCUAGCUACAGGCUUAACACAUGCAAGUCGUGGGGCAUCAUGAUGUAGUAAUACAUUGAUGGCGACCGGCGCACGGGUGAGUAACGCGUAUCCAACCUACCCUCCACUCAAGUAUAGGCUUCCGAAAGGGAGAUUAAUCCUUGAUAUCGUCAUUCUCUCUCCUGUUAGAAUGAUAAAAGGACAUCGUUUCGGUAGAGGAUGGGGAUGCGUUCCAUUAGGUAGUAGGCGGUUUAACAGGCCACCUAGCCGAUGAUGGAUAGGGGUUCUGAGAGGAAUGUCCCCCACACUGGUACUGAGAUACGGACCAGACUCCUACGGGAGGCAGCAGUGAGGAAUAUUGGUCAAUGGGCGCAAGCCUGAACCAGCCAUGUAGCGUGAAGGAUGACGGUUUUUUUGAUUGUAAACUUCUUUUCUGUGGGAUUAAAGUGUGGCAUUUAUGCCAUAUGGCAGUAUC